CUGGGACUGACCUGUACGGACGUUGAUACACUGUAGAUACAAAUACAGUCAACUCAUCUCUAUGCUCGCGCAAGAUGAGAUUAUCCAGCUGUGCUGGGGUUGUCGAGAGGAAGUAAUAAAUAAAUGUAUGAUGAACUGUAUUCAAGGCUUUGUCGUGAGUGAAAAGAAUCCCCGGAGUCAGAUUAGGGACGUGGCUAUCCGUUCACUGCAAGUCGAGUCGAUCGCUAUAUAAGGACAUAAACAUUUCUAGCGAAGUGCUAACAUGCAAACCGUUGACGGUUCAGGCCGUGUAUUACCUGGCACUACCCGACAACUCGGUGACCCAUUUGUCGAACAUCGUUGUGCAAUACAAAAGACAGUGGGCGGGACCACAAUACCAAUUACCGCAGCUCAUUAUAACCCACGAGCGAAUCGGCGCUCUCGGAUUGACAAGGCCACGUGCGACAGAAAUAACAGACCGAUUGACUGUCUUGUGGAGCGCAUCAUUUCACAUAAAUACAAGUUAUAUAUGUGCUACUGCAUUUGAAUAAAGGGUGGAUUGUCAAAAUAAAAUAUUUAUGGGAAUUGUGUACUUUUCCCAAGUGGCAAAAGAAAUACCUUUGAAUUAAAAGGACUGUUUUACUCUCAACGUAACCCAAUUUAAGUAUUGUAAAAAAAAAAUCUCAAUUCGCCCCCAAGUAUCACUAAUUGGUUAAUUAACCGUAAAUAGACAGAUGACAUUUGUGUACGAUAAGUUAUUCUGUACAUUUUCGGUGUUUAUUUUAAUACUGGUAGGCACAGAAACUCGUCCAAUUCUCAUUUGCGCACACAUGUAGUUCUCAUUGAUAUAUAGAUUUUGCACAUUUCUGUUGUCGGAACGAUAGCGAUAUAUAAACUUGAAAUUGAGGUUUUGGGCAAUACUGUAUGUCCCCUUGUGAUAAAUGAGCAUGGCGAUUGUUUAAACAUUUUCUCAUAGAUUUUGAUUAAAGGAAUGUUUUUGAAAAACCUAGCUUUUUAUUAUUGCAGGGACUUGACAUGUUACCUUGAGAGAAGAACAUUAAAUGUUAACAAAAUUAUUCUAUUUACAUGUAAUCCACUUCAUAUCCCUAUGUAUUGAACACAUUUCCGUGAUAAUAAUAAUAUAUAAAUCCUACCCUAGAUCCCUAUUUUAGGGUCAAUUUGAGAAAGGAAACCGAAAAUCGUAUGUGAAGUAAAUGUUUUACACUGUGUGACGGGGCUGACUGUUGUACAAUGUUUUGAUGAACCGAUCACGGGUGUUGUAUCACUGUCGGCUGAUUGUAAGGUCCUGUCAAACGCAUCUGGUGUUUUGUCAUAAUUUGGCAUGCUAUAACCACAGGUGCCCGACUCGUUUUAUAAAAUAAUAACAUAUAAGAGUACAUAUCUCAUUUAUAUGUACUCUUAUAUGUUAUUAUUUUAUAAAACGAGUCAGGCACCUGUGCUAUAACCAGUGCCUUUUCACUUGAAGUCAGAUUUGUCUCCGGUUGUGUGCAAUAAUGGAGAAGAAUAAGUUUAUCAUCCUGGAAAACCAGCAAAUGAAAGUUUACGUCUUGCGGUUUUGGAACUUUUUUUCCAAUGGAGUAUCCUACGGUAAAAUUAGUAGGAAGUGCGGUUUAACCAAAGAAGGCUGUACGAAAAUUGUAAAAAAAAAUCUACUUCCGUGAAAACACCGCGGCAAUGCACUACCGACCGGAGCAGCUUCAUUUUUUCGACGAAUCUUCCGUUAUUAAAACUGCAGGAAACAGGAAUUACGGACAUAGUUUUGUAGGUACACCAGCCGUCAAGGUUCAGAGAUAUGUAAGCAAUUGUACGUACACGGUUAACUUGUGUUGUGGGUUUUUUGGGGUGGACUUCUUUGAUAUUAUUCAGGGGCCGUCAAAUGUCCUAGAAAUGAUAAAGUUUUGACCAACUUUUACAACAACGGAAUGAAUUUAGAAAUCCGAUUAUUGAUAGGGGUGACUAUAUCAUUCUUGAUAACUGCGGAUUUCAUCAUCACAGGGUCGGAGAACAAUUACUACGUAAUCUUCUUGGUCAACAUGGCGUGGAAUUAUUAUUUCAGCCCCCGUACAGUCCGGAAGAAACGGUCUACGGGAAAAUGCUUUGUUAACAUAUAACUUUACUGAACUCGCAACGACAUUGGCAAUUACUGACAUUCCCAAUCAUGCCUGCGAAAAACUGUUUGAAAAAUGUGGAUAUGUAUAGUGACUACUGUUUACAUUUCUAAUUUAGUACUACAUUUUUGUAUAUAUAUAUAUAUAUAUCAUAGACACGAUGAAAUUUAAAAGAGAAGUCUAAUAAAAUCCUGUAUAUAAUUGAACAUUG